rnacentral:rRNA from 1 species
AACGAACGCUGGCGGCACGCCUAACACAUGCAAGUCGAGCGCACCUUCGGGUGAGCGGCGGACGGGUUAGUAACGCGUGGGAACGUACCCUUUUCUACGGAAUAGCCUCGGGAAACUGAGAGUAAUACCGUAUACGCCCUUUUGGGGAAAGAUUUAUCGGUGAAGGAUCGGCCCGCGUUAGAUUAGAUAGUUGGUGGGGUAAUGGCCUACCAAGUCUACGAUCUAUAGCUGGUUUGAGAGGAUGAUCAGCAACACUGGGACUGAGACACGGCCCAGACUCCUACGGGAGGCAGCAGUGGGGAAUCUUAGACAAUGGGCGCAAGCCUGAUCUAGCGAUGCCGCGUGAGUGAUGAAGGUCUUAGGAUCGUAAAGCUCUUUCGCCAGGGAUGAUAAUGACAGUACCUGGUAAAGAAACCCCGGCUAACUCCGUG